GACGAACGCUGGCGGCGUGCUUAACACAUGCAAGUCGAGCGGUAAGGCCCUUUCGGGGGUACACGAGCGGCGAACGGGUGAGUAACACGUGGGUGACCUGCCCUCAGCUCUGGGAUAAGCCCGGGAAACUGGGUCUAAUACCGGAUAUGACUCCAUGACGCAUGUUGUGGGGUGGAAAGCCUUGUGCGGCUGAGGAUGGGCCCGCGGCCUAUCAGCUUGUUGGUGGGGUGAUGGCCACCAAGGCGACGACGGGUAGCCGGCCUGAGAGGGCGACCGGCCACACUGGGACUGAGAUACGGCCCAGACUCCUACGGGAGGCAGCAGUGGGGAAUAUUGCGCAAUGGGCGGAAGCCUGACGCAGCGACGCCGCGUGGGGAUGACGGCC
rnacentral:rRNA from 1 species